rnacentral:tRNA from 1 species
GGGGCUAUAGCUCAGCUGGGAGAGCGCUUGCCUUGCACGCAGGAGGUCUGCGGUUCGAUCCCGCAUAGCUCCA